rnacentral:misc_RNA from 1 species
CGCACAUUGCGCCCAUUAGUAUUCUAGUGGGCAUGCCUGUUCGAGCGUCAUUUCAACCCUUAAGCCCCUGUUGCUUAGUGUUGGGAGCCUACAGUCCUCUGUAGCUCCCUAAAGUUAGUGGCGGAGUCGGUUUGCACUCUAGACGUAGUAGCUUCUAUCUCGUCUAUAGUUAGGCCGGUCUCUCGCCGUAAAACCCCUUAAUUUUUUCAAGGUUGACCUCGGAUCAGGUAGGAAUACCCGCUGAACUUAA